rnacentral:rRNA from 1 species
GGAUGCAAUCCUACCACCUUCAGCCCAUCAAGCUCAUCUGAUUUUGGAAGCUAAGAAGGGUUGCACUUGGUUAGUACUUGGAUGAGGGAUUUCUAGGGAAUACCAGAGAUCUCCA